rnacentral:rRNA from 1 species
CCUACGGGUGGCAGCAGUGAGGAAUAUUGGUCAAUGGCCGAGAGGCUGAACCAGCCAAGUCGCGUGAGGGAAGAAUGUCCUAUGGAUUUUAAACCUCUUUUGUCAGGGAGCAAAGUCACCCACGUGUGGGUGUUGGAGAGUACCUGAAGAAAAAGCAUAGGCUAACUCCGUGCCAGCAGCCGCGGUAAUACGGAGGAUGCUAGGGUUAUCCGGAUUUCGUGGGUGUAAAGGGUGCGAAAGGGGAUUUUUAAGUCAGCGGUCAAAUCGUGGGGCUAAACCACAUCCAGCAGCUGAAACUGGGGAUCUUGAGUGUGCGAGAGGUAUGUGGAAUGCGUGGUGUAGCGGUGAAAUGCAUAGAUAUCACGCAGAACACCGAUUGCGAAGGCAGCAUACUGGUGCACAACUGACGUUCAGGCACGAAAGUGUGGGUAUCGAACAGGAUUAGAUACCCUUGUAGUC